rnacentral:rRNA from 1 species
AACGAACGCUGGCGGCGCGCUUAACACAUGCAAGUCGAACGAGAAGGCGUAGCAAUACGCUUGUACAGUGGCGAACGGGUGAGGAAUACAUGGGUAACCUACCCUCGAGUGGGGGAUAACCCGCCGAAAGGCGGGCUAAUACCGCGUACGCUUCCGAUCUUGCGGGAUUGGAAGGAAAGCUGUCCCUUGGGGAUGGCGCUCAAGGAUGGGCUCAUGUCCUAUCAGCUUGUUGGUAGGGAACGCCUACCAAGGCAUCGACGGGUAGCUGGUCUGAGAGGACGAUCAGCCACACUGGCACUGCGACACGGGCCAGACUCCUACGGAGCAGCAGUGAGGAAUAUUGCGCAAUGGGCGAAAGCCUGACGCAG